GGGUCGUUAGCUCAGCCGGCAGAGCAGCGGGCUUUUAACCCGAAGGUCGUGGGUUCGAUCCCCACACGACCCACCA
rnacentral:tRNA from 2 species